rnacentral:rRNA from 2 species
UACGAAGGGGGCUAGCGUUGUUCGGAAUUACUGGGCGUAAAGCGCACGUAGGCGGACAUUUAAGUUGGAGGUGAAAGCCUUGGGCUCAACCCAAGAAUUGCCUUUGAUACUGGAUGUCUCGAGACCGGGAGAGGUGAGUGGAAUUCCGAGUGUAGAGGUGAAAUUCGUAGAUAUUCGGAAGAACACCAGUGGCGAAGGCGGCUCACUGGCCCGGUUCUGACGCUGAGGUGCGAAAGCGUGGGGAG